rnacentral:rRNA from 1 species
AGUGAACGCUGGCGGUAGGCCUAACACAUGCAAGUCGAACGGCAGCACAGUAAGAGCUUGCUCUUACGGGUGGCGAGUGGCGGACGGGUGAGGAAUACAUCGGAAUCUACUUUUUCGUGGGGGAUAACGUAGGGAAACUUACGCUAAUACCGCAUACGACCUACGGGUGAAAGCAGGGGAUCUUCGGACCUUGCGCGAUUGAAUGAGCCGAUGUCGGAUUAGCUAGUUGGCGGGGUAAAGGCCCACCAAGGCGACGAUCCGUAGCUGGUCUGAGAGGAUGAUCAGCCACACUGGAACUGGGACACGGUCCAGACUCCUACGGGAGGCAGCAGUGGGGAACAUUGGACAAUGGGCGCAAGCCUGAUCCAGCCAUACCGCGUGGGUGAAGAAGGCCUUCGGGUUGUAAAGCCCUUUUGUUGGGAAAGAAAAGCAGCAGGUUAAUACCCCGCUGUUCUGACGGUACCCAAAGAAUAAGCACCGGCUAACUUCGUG